CAAAAGUUCCUACCACAUUGCUCGCAAUCAUGUAAGUUGAAUCCGUUGGCCCCCGGAUAGCAAGCCCAAAAUCAGAUAACUGCAAGGAUCAUAUUCAUGGUCAAUAAGUUAUGGCAAGUAGCAAAAGAAGAAUUAAGAAGGAAAAAAGGUACCUGCGGCUGAAAAUCAUCAGAGAGAAGAAUGUUGGAAGACUUUACAUCUCUGUGUAUAAUGGGUGGAGAGCAUUCAUUGUGCAGGUAACACAAGCAAGCCUUGCAAGUAUGGAAGAUUACCAUGCAGAAUUUCCUUUAAACUUCCUCUGGAAAAGAAGUCAUAGACUG